rnacentral:rRNA from 1 species
UACGAAGGGGGCUAGCGUUGUUCGGAUUUAUUGGGCGUAAAGGGCGCGUAGGCGGCGGGGUAAGUCGGGUGUGAAAUCUCAGGGCUCAACCCUGAAACUGCACUUGAUACUGCUCUGCUUGAGGACUGGAGAGGAGACUGGAAUUCACGGUGUAGCAGUGAAAUGCGUAGAUAUCAAGUGGAACACCAGUGGCGAAGGCGAGUCCCUGGACAACACCAUGACAGCUG